UACAGAGGGUGCAAGCGUUAAUCGGAUUUACUGGGCGUAAAGCGUGUGUAGGUGGUUGCAUAAGUCGGAUGUGAAAGCCCUGGGCUCAACCUGGGAAUGCCAUUCGAUACUGUGCGACUAGAGUACGGUAGAGGGAGGCGGAACUCCGGGUGUAGCGGUGAAAUGCGUAGAUAUCCGGAAGAACACCGAUGGCGAAGGCAACCUCCUGGGCCUGUACUGACACUGAGACACGAAAGCGUGGGGAGCAAACAGG
rnacentral:rRNA from 1 species